CGAGUAAAAUAAGCAGGCGAGGAGGCGAUCGCGAAAGGAAAUUCAUGAAGUCUUGCUGGACUAUAUGGAGAGAACGGACUUUGAUCUGGCUGAGUAAUGGUUGUAGUUCACCGGUGGAGCAAAGCUCCAUCUGGUUAGCUGUUUGAUCACACCCCACGUCUUACCGUUUUGAGGGCGAAGUUUUGGGGUGAUCGUUGUCUCUCUUUUCUUUUUUUUUCCUUCUCUUUCCUAUUUUCACCUAUUCCCGUACUCUUAUUGUUGUCCAUAGCAUCCCUACUGCAAUAAAAUCUUAGCGGCUCUCUUGCUAACUUUCGAAAAAAAAGGAGGAGUCGUAGUCGACGAAC
rnacentral:lncRNA from 1 species